rnacentral:rRNA from 1 species
UACGAAGGGGGCUAGCGUUGCUCGGAAUUACUGGGCGUAAAGCGCGCGUAGGCGGCUUUGUAAGUUAGAGGUGAAAGCCCGGGGCUCAACCCCGGAAUUGCCUUCGAUACUGGGGAUCUUGAGUCCGGGAGAGGUGAGUGGAACUGCGAGUGUAGAGGUGAAAUUCGUAGAUAUUCGGAAGAACACCAGUGGCGAAGGCGGCUGACUGGACAUGUAUUGACGCUGAGGUGCGAAAGCGUGGGGAGCAAACAGGG